rnacentral:rRNA from 1 species
GACAGAGGGUGCAAACGUUGCUCGGAAUUACUGGGCGUAAAGCGCGUGUAGGCGGACCUGCAAGUCGGACGUGAAAGCCCUGGGCUCAACCCAGGAACUGGCAUCCGAAACUGCGGGCCGGAGUGGUGGAGAGGGAAGCAGAAUUCCUGGUGUAGAGGUGAAAUUCGUAGAUAUCAGGAGGAAUACCGGUGGCGAAGGCGACCCCCCUGGGAUAAAAAC